GUAAGAGCUCGUAGGCGGUUUGUCACGUCUGCUGUGAAAAUCCAAGGCUAAACCGGACUUGCAGUGGGUACGGGCAGGCUAGAGUGCGGUAGGGGAGAUGGGAAUUCCUGGUGUAGCGGUGGAAUGCGCAGAUAUCAGGAGGAACACCAAUGGCGAAGGCACAUCUCUGGGCCGUAACUGACGCUGAGGAGCGAAAGCGUGGGGAGCGAACAGGAUUAGAUACCCUGGUAGUCCACGCCGUAAACGGUGGGUGCUAGCUGUGGGCCACAUUCCACGUGGUCCGUGACGAAGUUAACACAUUAAGCACCCCGCCUGGGGAGUACGGCCGCAAGGCUAAAACUCAAAGGAAUUGACGGGGGCCCGCACAAGCGGCGGAGCAUGCGGAUUAAUUCGAUGCAACGCGAUUUACCUUACCAAGGCUUGACAUAUAGAGGAAAAGUGCAGAAAUGCACUCCCCGCAAGGUCUCUAUACAGGUGGUGCAUGGUUGUCGUCAGCUCGUGUCGUGAGAUGUUGGGUUAAGUCCCGCAACGAGCGCAACCCUCGUCCUAUGUUGCCAGCACGUAAUGGUGGGAACUCAUGGGAUACUGCCGGGGUCAACUCGGAGGAAGGUGGGGAUGACGUCAAAUCAUCAUGCCCCUUAUGUCUUG
rnacentral:rRNA from 1 species